rnacentral:lncRNA from 1 species
AAGACGGCCUUAUCGGCUGUAAGUUAUGAUGUUUUCAGAGUCAUUCUUUAAGAUAAACUUGAGUAAGUAAAAAGUUUUAAGCAGGAUCUUAUUUUCAGUAAGAUAAGCUUUAGUAAGACCCAACUUAAGACCAAGUCAACGCGUGUUCGUCAAUUUCCGUGAAAAUUCUUAUGUUUCCAACAAUCUCAUUGGUUGAAAAGUACUUAAAUUUUGACAAUGAAGUUUUUUAUUCAAAAUUGUAAACAGAUGUACAAAUGUACCUUAGAAAAUUGUAAGCCUCAAAUUCAAGCCUCUAAUUCAACUAGAAAAUUAUUACCGCAAGAUCAGAAGAAAAUAUGUCAAAAAAAGGAAAAAGUACUAAUUUUACCGCUGUAGAAAAAAAAUAUUUUCUACAAAUUUUAAAAAAUUAUGCCCAAGUAAUUGAAAAUAAAAAGAGUUAUGCUGCUACAUUAAGUGAAAAAAAAGAAGCAUGGGAUUUCAUCGCAACCGACUUUAAUUCAUCUAGUAUAAUUACUGAAAGGCGAAAUGCAGAUCAACUCAAAAAACUUUGGUCAAAUCUAAAAACAAAACAACGGAAUGCGCUGACAACCAAAAAGCAACAUCGCCUUGCAACUGGGGUCGGUCCAUCAAUUCCAGAUUCUGAAGUUGAUCCUGAUAUUUCCUUAUUGCCCCAAACUUAAUUAAAACUGCACCGAUUUUAUUUUCUUCAAAUAAGUCUGAAGAAGAAGUUACUAGGACGUUUUCAUCUUUUUUUCCUUCUCUAAGUGUAAUGCUGUUGACUCAAUGGAAUGUGAAGAAUACAUAAGCCUUGAACAACUAUUCCCAGAUGAUGAGAAUGAUGGCAAUGAUGAUGAAGAAUUACCACGUGAACCCUCAUCGUCUAUUGUUACUAAAAAAUCGUUGCUCAACAAUAUAGGGAAAACAACUAAAGGAAGAAAAAAAUCCACCCAAUGAAGACGAGAAAUUCUAUAGAAGCGAAAGGUUAAGAAAAUAAUA